GCCCGGGUAGCUCAGUCGGUAGAGCAUGAAACUCUUAAUUUCAGGGUCGUGGGUUCAAGCCCCAUGUUGUGCG